rnacentral:rRNA from 1 species
AUUGAACGCUGGCGGCAGGCCUAACACAUGCAAGUCGAGCGAGCGGCGCACGGGUGAGUAAUGUCUGGGAAUUGCCCAGUCGAGGGGGAUAACAGUUGGAAACUACUGCUAAAACCGCAUACGACUGGAUCCCCUAGGUGGGAUUAGGUGGUUGGUGGGGUAAUGGCUCACCAAGGCGACGACCCCUAGCUGGUCUGAGAGGAUGACCAGCAACACUGGAACUGAGACACGGUCCAGACUCCUACGGGAGGCAGCAGUGGGGAAUAUUGCACAAUGGGGGAAACCCUGAUGCAGCCAUGCCGCGUGUAUGAAGAAGGCCUUCGGGUUGUAAAGCACUUUCAGCGGGGAGGCGUUACUCGCAGAAGAAGCACCGGCUAACUCCGUGCCAGCAGCCGCGGUAAUAC